GACGAACGCUGGCGGCGUGCCUAACACAUGCAAGUCGAGCGGGGUUGAAGCGAGGGGUAACUCGAGUUUCUACCUAGCGGCGGACGGGUGAGUAACGCGUGGGCAACCUGCCUCAAGGACUGGGAUAACAGCUCGAAAGGGCUGCUAAUACCGGAUAUGCCUGUGGCCUCGCAUGGGGCUAUGAGCAAAGGGGAAACCCGCCUUGAGAUGGGCCCGCGUCCCAUCAGCUAGUUGGUGAGGUGAAGGCUCACCAAGGCGACGACGGGUAGCCGGCCUGAGAGGGUGACCGGCCACACUGGGACUGAGACACGGCCCAGACUCCUACGGGGGCAGCAGUGGGGAAUCUUGCACAAUGGGCGAAAGCCUGAUGCAGCGACGCCGCGUGGAGGACGAAGCCCUUCGGGGUGUAAACUCCUUUUCUCAGGGAAAAGGAUGAUGGUACCUGAGGAAUAAGCCCCGGCUAACUACGUG
rnacentral:rRNA from 1 species